GCGGGGGUGGAGUAGACAGUCAACUCGCCGGGCUAAUCCCCCGGAGCCGUGGGUGCGACACCCACCCCCCGCACCA
rnacentral:tRNA from 1 species